UGGAGUCAGCGGUCUGUGUGUUUCCACAGGGAGAACAGCAGCUGAUUUGGAUUCCAGAGAGAUUAACUAAGGUCUUGACCCAUUGAUUGUAUGGAGUCGGGGGUCUGUUUGCAUGUUUCUACAGGGAAAACAGCAGCUGACUUGGAUUCCAGAGAGAUUAACUAAAGCGAUUUCUACAGACCAAAAAGAAGAUGAUUUGGCUCAAAUCCAUAACAGCUGAUAUCCAGAACUCCACUUUGGCUACCCUUACAUCUGCUACAGAACCAGGAUGCUUUUUUCAGUAUCUAUUUUAUUAUUGUCCUUUCCCACAUCAUGAAGUUCUAUUUUGUUUUUUGAGCCCAUACAGACCUAGGUUAAUGUUUUGCUAAUCAGUUCUAUUUUUUGACUAUAGAGUUUUUAAACAUUGCAAUGGAGAUUUCUCCUGUAAAAUGUUAUAAGGCCUUUACUAUUAUGCUAUGCGUUGUAUGUAUUAUAUUAUGUGUGCACACUUGUGUUUUAUGUUGUACGUUUGUAUGUACGUAUGUCCAUAUAUCAUAUAUGAUGGGCGCUCAUGAAAAAAUGGAUCCAAAUAUAUAUUUUUUUUAAUAUUUAUUUUUUUAGUUUUUUUGGCGGACACAACAUCUUUGUUUGUAUGUGGUGCUCAGGAUCGAACCCGGGCCGCACGCAUGCCAGACGAGCGCGCUACCACUUGAGCCACAUCCCCAGCCCCAAAAAUAUUUUUUUUAUUCACAUGAUUUAAAUGUUUUAAUUUAAAUUGGGUAAACAGCUAUUGAGGAUUGUUUUACUAUGUGAACAAAAAAGGAGGUUAACAGAUCUGUUUGUUUACUUUCACCUUUCCUUUUCAUUAUAUUUAAUAAUUCUGUUUAAGAUAAUGUAAAUUGUUAAGAAAAUUGUUUUCUUUUAGUGCCUUCUGGAAUUUACAUAAUUUUUUCUUUAGCCAUUAUUGCCAGAAUUUCUAUCUUCAUCCCAGUGCCAGUGAAGACAAAGAUAAAACCAAUCUACAUCUUCUGCAAUAGCUAUCACUGAACUACUUGCAGAACUUGCCUAGACUAUGUAUCACUUGUAUGCAUUUUGAACUCACUUGUAUGCAUUGUGAACUAUCUGUUGGUGCAGCGACUUCUGGUAGUGUUGGGGUAUUUUUGCUGAUGGUGUCAUCAGUGGUAAUUGACUUAUCUUCCUCACUUCUGCUUGUGAAACAGAGAGGGGGGGAUGUUGAGAGCCACAGCCGAAGGGGCCCCAGCAAACUUCCAGCUGCCAGCAAACUUCCAGCUGCCAGAUGAUGAUUGGCUCAAAGCGGCCCGAGCAAACUUCUAGCUGCCAACUGAUUGGCUCCUCUGCUGUGAUGCUCAUUGGGCUGUUUCCCUGCCCUUUCAGACCACGGAGCUGCUAAUUGGGGGACUUUUUAUUGGCUCCGCCCAUAUGACCCAGCCAAUCGGCCUCAAGAGCAGGAGGAGUGGGGGAGGUUGAGGCUUGUUGGAAGCCGGUGGUGGCAGUUGGGCUCUGAGGGAAUUCCUGAAGAGCUGUGUGGUGCGGUGUGCGGUGUGUGUGUUCUAAAAA
rnacentral:lncRNA from 1 species